CCUGGCUCAGAUUGAACGCUGGCGGCAUGCCUUACACAUGCAAGUCGAACGGUAGAGUAGCAAUACUCGAGAGUGGCGAACGGGUGAGUAAUAUAUCGGAACGUGCCCAAUCGUGGGGGAUAACGUAGAGAAAUUUACGCUAAUACCGCAUACGAUCUAAGGAUGAAAGCGGGGGAUCGCAAGACCUCGCGCGAUUGGAGCGGCUGAUAUCAGAUUAGGUUGUUGGUGAGGUAAAAGCUCACCAAGCCGACGAUCUGUAGCUGGUUUGAGAGAACGACCAGCCACACUGGGACUGAGACACGGCCCAGACUCCUACGGGAGGCAGCAGUGGGGAAUUUUGGACAAUGGGCGAAAGCCUGAUCCAGCAAUGCCGCGUGCAGGAAGAAGGCCUUCGGGUUGUAAACUGCUUUUGUACGGAACGAAACGGCUCUUUCUAAUAAAGAGGGCUAAUGACGGUACCGUAAGAAUAA
rnacentral:rRNA from 1 species